rnacentral:rRNA from 1 species
UUCCGGUUGAUCCUGCCGGACCUGACUGCUAUCGGAUUGAUACUAAGCCAUGCGAGUCUUUGUAGUAAUACAAGGCAUACGGCUCAGUAACGCGUAGUCAACCUACCCUAUGGACAAGAAUAAUCUCGGGAAACUGAGCAUAAUUCUUGAUAGAUCAUAAUGCCUGGAAUGGUUUAUGGUUAAAAUGAUUCGUCGCCAUAGGAUGGGACUGCGGCCUAUCAGCUUGUUGGUGAGGUAAUGGCCCACCAAGGCGAUAACAGGUACGGGCUCUGAGAGGAGAAGCCCGGAGAUGGGUACUGAGACAAGGACCCAGGCCCUAUGGGGCGCAGCAGGCGAGAAAACUUUGCAAUGUGCGAAAGCACGACAAGGUUAGUCCGAGUGAUUUCUGCUAAAGAGAUCUUUUGCUAGUUAUAAAACCACUAGUGAAUAAGGGGUGGGCAAGUUCUGGUGUCAGCCGCCGCGGUAAAACCAGCACCUCAAGUGGUCAGGAUGAUUAUUGGGCCUAAAGCAUCCGUAGCCGGCUCUGUAAGUUUUCGGUUAAAUCUAUGCGCUCAACGUAUGGGCUGCCGAAAAUACUGCAGAGAUAGGGAGUGGGAGAGGUAGACGGUACUCGGUAGGAAGGGGUAAAAUCCUUUGAUCUAUCGAUGACCACCUGUGGCGAAGGCGGUCUACCAGAACACGUUCGACGGUGAGGGAUGAAAGCUGGGGGAGCAAACCGGAUUAGAUACCCGGGUAGUCCCAGCCGUAAACGAUGCAGACUCGAUGAUGCAUUGGCAUAUAGCUAGUGCAGUGUCGCAGGGAAGCCGUUAAGUCUGCCGCCUGGGAAGUACGUACGCAAGUAUGAAACUUAAAGGAAUUGGCGGGGGAGCACCACAAGGGGUGAAGCCUGCGGUUCAAUUGGAUUCAACGCCGGA